UACGUAGGGUGCGAGCGUUAAUCGGAAUUACUGGGCGUAAAGCGUGCGCAGGCGGCGCGUUAAGACAGGUGUGAAAGCCCCGAGCUUAACUUGGGAAUUGCGCUUGUGACUGGCGUGCUGGAGUGUGGCAGAGGGAGGUGGAAUUCCACGUGUAGCAGUGAAAUGCGUAGAUAUCAGGAGGAACACCUGUGGUGGAGACAGCUUACUGGACCACUUCUGACGCUGAGACACGAAAGCGUGGGUAGCAAACAGG
rnacentral:rRNA from 1 species